rnacentral:snRNA from 1 species
GGAUGUGAGGGCGAUCUGGCUGCGACAUCUGUCAUCCUAUUGAUCGCCAGGGUUGAUUUGGCCAAUCUGGCUGGCUAGGCAGGUGUCUCCUUCCUCCCUCACCAUUCCAUGCGUGCCCCUCUCCAAGGAUGGCCUUCCUCGAAUAGACAGACUGGUCUUUGAUAGAGGGUAUACGAGUAGCUGUGCUCCCCUGCUAGAACCUCCAAACAAGCUCUCAAGACUUGCCCAAAAUCAUUACUUUGGAUUCAUAGAAAUAUAUAUAUAUAUAAUUUUAUUUUCUUUUAAACUAUUUACCUAU